UACCAGCACCCCGAGUGGGCGGGACGAUUAUUGGGCCUAAAGCCUCCGUAGCCGGUUUUACAAGUCCUCCGUUAAAUCCAGCUGCUUAACAGAUGGGCUGCGGAGGAUACUAUAAGACUAGGAGGCAGGAGAGGCAAGCGGUACUCAGUGGGUAGGGGUAAAAUCCGUUGAUCCAUUGAAGACCACCAGUGGCGAAGGCGGCUUGCCAGAAUGCGCUCGACGGUGAGGGAUGAAAGCUGGGGGAGCAAACCGG
rnacentral:rRNA from 1 species